UUACACAUGCAAGUCGAACGGCAGCACGGGUGCUUGCACCUGGUGGCGAGUGGCGAACGGGUGAGUAAUACAUCGGAACAUGUCCUGUAGUGGGGGAUAGCCCGGCGAAAGCCGGAUUAAUACCGCAUACGAUCUACGGAUGAAAGCGGGGGACCUUCGGGCCUCGCGCUAUAGGGUUGGCCGAUGGCUGAUUAGCUAGUUGGUGGGGUAAAGGCCUACCAAGGCGACGAUCAGUAGCUGGUCUGAGAGGACGACCAGCCACACUGGGACUGAGACACGGCCCAGACUCCUACGGGAGGCAGCAGUGGGGAAUUUUGGACAAUGGGCGAAAGCCUGAUCCAGCAAUGCCGCGUGUGUGAAGAAGGCCUUCGGGUUGUAAAGCACUUUUGUCCGGAAAGAAAUCCUUGGUUCUAAUAUAGCCGGGGGAUGACGGUACCGGAAGAAUAAGCACCGGCUAACUACGUGCCAGCAGCCGCGGUAAUACGUAGGGUGCGAGCGUUAAUCGGAAUUACUGGGCGUAAAGCGUGCGCAGGCGGUUUGCUAAGACCGAUGUGAAAUCCCCGGGCUCAACCUGGGAACUGCAUUGGUGACUGGCAGGCUAGAGUAUGGCAGAGGGGGGUAGAAUUCCACGUGUAGCAGUGAAAUGCGUAGAGAUGUGGAGGAAUACCGAUGGCGAAGGCAGCCCCCUGGGCCAAUACUGACGCUCAUGCACGAAAGCGUGG
rnacentral:rRNA from 1 species